AACGUAGGAGACAAACGUUAUCCGGAGUUACUGGGCGUAAAGGGCGUGUAGGUGGUUUCGUAAGUCUGGCGUGAAAUUUUUCGGCUUAACCGGGAAAGGUCGUCGGAUACUGCAGAACUAGAGGACGGUAGAGGCGUGUGGAAUUCCGGGUGUAGUGGUGAAAUGCGUAGAGAUGCGGAGGAACACCGAUGGCGAAGGCAGCCCCCUGGGCCAAUACUGACGCUCAUGCACGAAAGCGUGGGGAGCAAACAGGA
rnacentral:rRNA from 1 species